rnacentral:lncRNA from 1 species
GUUGUUGGUCAGGUUGGGCGAGGGGCUCCCCGCGCCCGGGCUUCCCACUCUGGCUUCGCGCCCGCUUGUCCUUGUCUCUUCGGCCCGGCCGUGGCGAAGCUGUUCUGCCCGAGUAGCGGCAGGAGGCCUUCUCGGCUCUGCUCCUGAAACUCGCCGGGGCUGGGGGCUUCUCGCCCCUGCCGGCCUCGGCGCCAUCGGAACUCCCGCGGAGACACUGGGGACUCAGGUUCUCCGCAGUCCACAGCCCGAGACUCAUCAUUGCAUUUCAAGGCAGGGGGUUUGGGUUUUGUUUUUACGUGUUUUAAGAUAUUUUGUCUGAUUUGGUCAAGGGUCACUUUGAUUUACCAAAAAGCAGUAGAGCAGGAGAGGGACAGAAGGCAGUUCUGAAAGCGGGCAGGAAAGCUUACCCACUCGCUGUUGUGUUGUGAUUAUUUUCUUUGGGGUUCUUAGACAUUUCGUCUGGGAGCAACUUUUGUUCAAAACACUAGUUACUCCUGUCAACAUAAAGGUCAUUGUUUCACUAUCCAGAAAAUUUGAAUAAGUUUGUGUCGUUUCAACCCUGCCCCCAACACAUAUAAUUCCAGUACAUUGGUUGGAACUUAACAUUGGUCACCUUAUUUGAGACUCCUAAAUCAAGUCACUUAAUGUCUUACUCGAGAGGCAUUUUGUCCCCUCUUGCCUCACUUUCUUCACACACACAGACUCAAAAUAUUACAGCUUUCCUCUCUCCUGACUUCCUUAAUCAUGGGCAUGUUUUAUUUACCUGUUAAAAUACUCCUCUAAGUGGACGGUACCUGUAAAGAAUUCCACCCAAGUUACUUUGAAGGGAUCUUCAUAUAAGCCUUGUGGAUUUAUUAAUUCAACAGCUAUUUAAUGGGUUCUCAUUGUGCUAAACUUUGGAAAUGCAGAUUUCGAUGUCAUGCAUUGCCUUUAAGAAAGACAGGGGAACAAAAGUAAAUCAAUAUUUAAAUCGACUGGAAUUGCGUCCUGUUAGAAGCACAGAGAAGGGCCAUCUGUUUAAAAUUUUAUCAGGCUUUGUGUUCCCAAGAAUGUUUGAACGGAGUUACAGAAGAACGGGUAGAGGUUAGCUAAUUGAAGAAGGAAGGAGAUUGUUUGAGAUGGAGAAAAAAAUAUUGAUAGAGAAACUGGCCCAUUUAAGUAACUUCAUGCAUUUCAUUGCUUCUGACAUCACAGCUGUCAACUUCCUCUUGUCACAUGGCUUGCAUAAUCCCUUCAUGAUUAUCUCCCUAAGUCUGCACAUGUGCACUCAUUUGGGUCCCAAGAGAGGGCCUGGAGGACUUUAGCCCAUUGUCAUGUCUAUAACAUUCCCUCCCUUCAAUUUUUUGGUUGGACAGGGUAUUUUUAUCUUGAGCAGAAAGCAUUUUAAGCCCCUCCUUCCAACCAAGUAAGGCACCAUGGUACACGAACAGCCAGUCCACCACAGGAUUUCUCUUCUUGGUAAGCAAUUAGCUUAGAAGUGCUGAGAGGUUUGGCUACUGUACAUCUCCACGUUGCCCGAAGCUUUCUGCAGUUAUCCUAAUGCUACCUUGAUGUCCAUCUGUUGUUAAACAGCUUUUUUCUCACGUCUUACAGCUUCUGUUGCAUAAAGUAGUGGUUUUCACCCUUUAAAAAAAAAAAAAAAGCCAUAGAAUUCUUCCUUCAGUGAAAGCUUAUGUAAAACAGAUUAGGUUGUUCUGGCUGAAAUAGUUGGGCUAAAGUCCCAACUACUUAGCAGCCCUUCCUCCUGGUGGCCCCUCAGACUUUCAACCCAGAUUUGAAAACUACCAUGUUAAAAUGUAACAGAAAACAAUGCACAGCCCAACUUAAUCUUCUAAACAAAGCAUAAUAUAUCCCAACUUUAUUGUACACAGCAUCUCUUUUCUUACCACAUACAUCAACCCAGUUUAUUUUACCUUCUGCAGAUUUUACCCAUGAUUUUCUAUUAAUUACUAUAUCUUCAUAGCUAGAGCCUUUAAAUCUUAUUUUGAGCUCAGAUUCUAAAUGAAAAUUACCCUUUCUGGCAAAGGACACAAAACAGAAGCUUCUCUAUGUCUCUAGUGCUUAAGCAUGUGGUCAAUACAGAGAAUUCUGAAUAAGGCCCAAAACUCAGGCUAGACAAAGAGCACUUCGGAAAGAGAAGUAGAAAAAUAAUUACUAAAGUAACUGUGUGGCAGACAACCUAUAUUUUGCAAAAUUUAUUAGAAGAAAGCAAGACUUUAUAGACAAAUUUGUUGAAAAAAGACUACUUAAUGUGAACUUUGAGUAGUAAUAUAGAUCUGGAUAUGAGGGAGUUCUCUCAGCCAGAUUCCUCUGAUUUCCACAUCCAUUUACCCAAAUGGUUGGUUGGUUCCUGGAUAUCUUCCUCAAAUUCAGCACGUUGAAAACUGAACUCAAUUUCUUUCUUCCUAAACCUAUUCCUCCCAUCUAUCCCUUUUCCAUAAUGGGUAACCCCUGAACACUGCAUCAAUAAUUGCCUAAGCUUGAAACCUGGGAGACAUACUGUACACCUCCUUUCACUGCCUUCAUAUACAGACAGUGAGUCUGAUGAUUCUGAUUCUUCAUAUCCCUUACAUUCCUCAUAGUCCCCUUCCUAGUCUUUCUGAUUCCAUCUGAACCCUCUUUUAAGUCACCCUCCUGACAUCUGCCAGAGGAAUCAUUCAAAAUGCACAAGUUGGAUGUGUCUUUUUUCCCUUGAAACCCUUCACUUGCUCCCCAUGGCUUUCAUGGUCAUGCUUUAACAUUCUAACACUCAAAAAGUAUGUUCCUGGCUACCUCUCUAAUUUUAUCUCCCACUAUUCUAGCCAGAUCAGCCUAAGCUAUUUUAUUUAAGCUUUCAUUGAAGAAAGAAGUCCACUGCUUUAGAAGAGAGUGAAAAUUUCUAGUUUACACCAUAGACACUGUGUAGCGACAAGAUAAACUAGUAAGAGUGAAGGGAAAAAAAUAGAUCUGUUUAACAAUCGAUGUACAGCUACAUGGAUUGGGAUAAUAACUGCAGAAGUGUUCAGGCAACGUGAAGGAGAUGUGUGGCCCAAUCUCUCAGAACUCUCAAGUAGAAGAGAAAUAGGAUGACUGGCUGUGCCAAAAUGUCUAUGUAGGAUGGAUUUAGAACCCAGUGUGAAUGGGAGGAAAUAAUUUAAACCUUCUUGUUUAAAAUUAAGAAACAUAAACUAUCCAAACCAAAUAAUUGGAAGGAGAAAGGGUGUUAAUUAGAUCACAAAGGGCCAAAGCUCUUUCUUGGUACCAAAAUGAAUGUGUAGAUAGAUGGAGAGAAUAAUGAACAGAUCAUCAGGAGUGUGACAAAAGAGGGUUGACAGCUGUGAUAUUAGAGGCAAGGGGAAAUGAGUUAUUUGAAUGGAAAAAAAACCUAACCUGGAAGUAUAUAUAUCUUCUGACUACAACAGAGGUGGCUGUCACAUCAGGGGUGAGGAGGAAUUUAGCCUGUGAAGAAUUCUCCACAAAUCUUAACUGGUUUGAAUGGGGCUCUUCUACAUAUUCUCUUAUGAUCUUGCUAAUUCAGGUGAGGUCUGUGGGCCAACAGCAUCAUAUUACCUGAGAGCUUGUUAGAAGUACUAGCUUCUAAACUGAAGCCCUGCCCUAGACCUACAAUAUCAAUAUUAGUAAGACAUAGUUCCUACCAUUAAGGAGCUCCCAUCUAAAGCCCAGCAACUGCUGUGUGGGAACAAAACUCUAGACCUCUUAUUUAUGUUUUCCAAAUGUAUAUAUGAAACCAAUUUUUCCUCUUUCCCAUUUCCUGUGACCUACACUGGUUAUCUAAAGUGAUUCUUGGAGUUCCCACAGUGUAUAGUGGCUCAGUGGAAACAAAUCCGACUAGGAAACAUGAGGUUGUGGUUGGAUCCCUGGCUUUGCUCAGUGUGUUAAGGAUCCCGCGUUGCCAUGAGCUGUGGUGUAGAUUGGAUCUGGCGUUGCUGUGGCUGUGGUGGAGGCCGGCGGCACAGUUCCGAUUACACCCCUAGCCUAGGAACCUCCAUAUGCCUCGAGUGUGGCCCUAAAAAGCAAAAAAUAAAUAAAUAAAUAAAUAAAGUGAUUCUUGCUACCACAGUAUAGCUCUGUUAACCCUAAUCUUUGUACAGUGCCAAGCAAAUCUGUCACCUGUGCAUUUAUAUACCCAUUCUCUCUCUCCUUCCAACCACUGCUGUUUUACAGUACUCACCACUUACUUCUAAGCACAAUACCUGGUUUACAGGUAUUUUAGGCCCUAGCAAGAUAGCAUAGAGGUUAAAGGCAUAACUUAAAAGUCAUUUAAAACUAGACUAUUUGAGGGAGUUCCCGUUGUGGCUCAGUGGUUAAUGAAUCCGACUAGGAACCAUGAGGUUGCAGGUUCGGUCCCUGGCCUCACUUAGUGGGUUAAGAAUCUGGCAUUGCCAUGAGCUGUGGUGUAGGUUGCAGACUCGGCUUGGAUCCCGCGUUGCUGUGGCUCUGGCAUAGGCUGGCGGCUACAGCUCCGAUUAGACCCCUAGCCUGGGAACCUCCAUAUGCCAUGGGUAUGGCCCUAGAAAAAGGCCAAAAGG